AUUGAACGCUGGCGGCAGGCUUAACACAUGCAAGUCGAGCGAGCGGCGGACGGGUGAGUAAUGUCUGGGAAACUGCCUGAUGGAGGGGGAUAACUACUGGAAACGGUAGCUAAUACCGCAUACCAUCAGAUCGGCCCAGAUGGGAUUAGCUAGUAGGUGGGGUAAUGGCUCACCUAGGCGACGAUCCCUAGCUGGUCUGAGAGGAUGACCAGCCACACUGGGACUGAGACACGGUCCAGACUCCGACGGGAGGCAGCAGUGGGGAAUGUUGGACAAUGGGGGAAAGCCUGAUGCAGCCAUGCCGCGUGUGUGAAGAAGGCCUUCGGGUUGUAAAGCACUUUCGGCGAGGAGGCGUUAUUCGCAGAAUAAGCACCGGCUAACUCCGUGCCAGCAGCCGCGGUAAUUC
rnacentral:rRNA from 1 species